rnacentral:rRNA from 1 species
CCUACGGGAGGCAGCAGUAGGGAAUAUUGCUCAAUGGGGGAAACCCUGAAGCAGCAACGCCGCGUGGAGGAUGAAGGUUUUCGGAUUGUAAACUCCUUUUGUUAGAGAAGAUAAUGACGGUAUCUAACGAAUAAGCACCGGCUAACUCCGUGCCAGCAGCCGCGGUAAUACGGAGGUUGCAAGCGUUACUCGGAAUAACUGGGCGUAAAGAGCGAGUAGGUGGGAUAGCAGGUCAGAUGUGAAAUCCUAGGGCUUAACCAUAGAACUGCAUUUGAAACUGUUAUUCUAGAGUAUGGGAGAGGUAGGUGGAAUUCUUGGUGUAGGGGUAAAAUCCGUAGAGAUCAAGAGGAAUACUCAUUGCGAAGGCGACCUGCUAGAACAUAACUGACGCUGAUGCGCGAAAGCGUGGGGAGCAAACAGGAUUAGAUACCCGAGUAGUC